GACGAACGCUGGCGGCGUGCUUAACACAUGCAAGUCGAACGGAAAGGCCCUGCUUUUGUGGGGUGCUCGAGUGGCGAACGGGUGAGUAACACGUGAGUAACCUGCCCUUGACUUUGGGAUAACUUCAGGGAACUGGGGCUAAUACCGGAUAGGAGCUCCUGCUGCAUGGUGGGGGUUGGAAAGUUUCGGCGGUUGGGGAUGGACUCGCGGCUUAUCAGCUUGUUGGUGGGGUAGUGGCUUACCAAGGCUUUGACGGGUAGCCGGCCUGAGAGGGUGACCGGCCACAUUGGGACUGAGAUACGGCCCAGACUCCUACGGGAGGCAGCAGUGGGGAAUAUUGCACAAUGGGCGGAAGCCUGAUGCAGCAACGCCGCGUGCGGGAUGACGGCCUUCGGGUUGUAAACCGCUUUCGCCUGUGACGAAGCGUGAGUGACGGUGAUGGGUAAAGAAGCACCGGCUAACUACGUGCCAGCAGCCGCGGUGAUACGUAGGGUGCGAGCGUUGUCCGGAUUUAUUGGGCGUAAAGGGCUCGUAGGUGGUUGAUCGCGUCGGAAGUGUAAUCUUGGGGCUUAACCCUGAGCGUGCUUUCGAUACGGGUUGACUUGAGGAAGGUAGGGGAGAAUGGAAUUCCUGGUGGAGCGGUGGAAUGCGCAGAUAUCAGGAGGGACACCAGUGGCGAAGGCGGUUCUCUGGGCCUUUCCUGACGCUGAGGAGCGAAAGCGUGGGGAGCGAACAGGCUUAGAUACCCUGGUAGUCCACGCUGUAAACGGUGGGUACUAGGUGUGGGGUCCAUUCCACGGGUUCCGUGCCGUAGCUAACGCUUUAAGUACCCCGCCUGGGGAGUACGGCCGCAAGGCUAAAACUCAAAGGAAUUGACGGGGCCCCGCACAAGCGGCGGAGCAUGCGGAUUAAUUCGAUGCAACGCGUAGAACCUUACCUGGGUUUGACAUGGAUCGGGAGUGCUCAGAGAUGGGUGUGCCUCUUUUGGGGUCGGUUCACAGGUGGUGCAUGGCUGUCGUCAGCUCGUGUCGUGAGAUGUUGGGUUAAGUCCCGCAACGAGCGCAACCCUUGUUCACUGUUGCCAGCACGUUAUGGUGGGGACUCAGUGGAGACCGCCGGGGUCAACUCGGAGGAAGGUGGGGAUGACGUCAAGUCAUCAUGCCCCUUAUGUCCAGGGCUUCACGCAUGCUACAAUGGCUGGUACAGAGAGUGGCGAGCCUGUGAGGGUGAGCGAAUCUCGGAAAGCCGGUCUCAGUUCGGAUUGGGGUCUGCAACUCGACCUCAUGAAGUCGGAGUCGCUAGUAAUCGCAGAUCAGCAACGCUGCGGUGAAUACGUUCCCGGG
rnacentral:rRNA from 1 species